UCUGAAAACUAACCCUGGAUCUCCAUAAUCCAUUUUUUACCGGUCAUAGUUUUUAUUUCAGAUAUCAAAAAUCAAUGAUCAAAAGUUUUGAAACCAAUAUGUAAGACAUCCAACUUUGUAAAUUCCGCUUUCUGUCCGUCAAUUUGCGUUGGUAGUAAUUGACAGAAUUGCAAGAAAAGGGCAUGAAACUGAGCGAGCCCUUAGCCAGGGAAUGUGUAGCGACAGAGAGCGACGUUCAAUAGAAAGUUGUGUAAGAAACCUUCACAGAAUUGAACAUUUAUUGUCUACAGAAACCUACAAUGAACAGUAAAGCAGUUUGACUGAGGUUGGAGUGCUAGCAAUAGCUCAUUUCCAUCGAACCGAGGAUCGUCGUUUCUUCAUAAGGCGGGUUAGUUCAGGGCGGAGUGGCAGACCAUCUAUUGUUACCAGAGAGCACAUAGACGUCCUUAUGAAGCAAGGACAUACAAUCAAAAAAAAGGCAAAAAUGAUGGGAUGUUCCUCGUCGUUUUUGAACAACAAAUCAAAGCUGGUGGACCUACACAUAAGAGGAAGACUGUCUGCCUUAGAUGACAAUCAGCUGCAAGAGCGUGUGAGCACAUUGCAGGACCAGUAUCCAAACUCUGGGAAUGAGAUGAUGAGGGUGCUGCUUCGUGCUCAAGAUGUGAUUGUCACACGGGCCAGGGUACGCUAAAUGUUGGGAAGGACAAACCUGACAUCUGCUGCAAGAAGGUGGAGUCGGACUGUUGCAAGAUGGGGCUUUGUGAUACUUGGUGCCAUCGAAGGACACCCGUGUGGGAUUACCUCAGCUGCAGUACAAACAAUAGGGCAACAACAGUACUCUGUCAGUUUUUGAAAGCAACAUCUUACUAUGGACUACCAUCAAGAGUCAGAUCAGACCAUGGGGAUGAAAACAUGCUGCUUGCUUUAUGCAUGCAUCUAGUUCAAGGGCUGGAACACAGAGGCUUCAUAACAGGAGAAUCAGUUCAUAAUCAGCGCAUAGAACACCUUUGGCAGGAUGUAUUUUUGCUUGUGCUGCAGCAUUUCUACCAUACAUUCUACUGUCUGGAGGACGCAGAGAAUCUUAACCCAGAUAGUGAUAUCUACAGACUUUCUUUACAUAUUGUAUAUCCACCUGAGAUUCAAAGGAGGCUGGAACAGUUCAGACAGGCUUGGUACCACCAUGGUUUGCCCACAGAAAGUAAUCACACAGCAGCUCGUCUGUAAUUCUGAUGCAGAAUACAUUUGACAAUUAUUGACAUUUAAUCAUUCUUUUGCACAUUGCCAUUAUCACUUUAUUUUAGAUCUGUAAAUAUAUAUA